AGUGGUAGAGAGAGUUGGUCGUCGCCCCCUCCUUCUUUAUCCCUUCGGUUUAUUGUCUUUUUGUUUGGUUGGUCUAACCGUGGCACUAGCUCUUCAGGAAGAAAAUGACUGGACAAAAUGGAUGGGACUCGGUUUUGUGUAUCUCUAUAUCAUACUUUUUGCUAUCGGACCUGCGCCCCUCCCUUACGUGGUAUCUACAGAGGUGUGGUCUCAAGGGCCACGUCCUGCUGCUGUAAGUAUCUCCAUUCAAGUGAACUGGUGGGCUAAUUUUGCUGUCCAGCUAUCAUUUCCAUCAA